GACGAACGCUGGCGGCGUGCCUAAUACAUGCAAGUCGAACGCACAGUUUAUACCGUAGCUUGCUACACCAUAGACUGUGAGUUGCGAACGGGUGAGUAACGCGUAGGUAACCUGCCUGGUAGCGGGGGAUAACUAUUGGAAACGAUAGCUAAUACCGCAUAAUAUUAAUUAUUGCAUGAUAAUUAAUUGAAAGGUGCAAUUGCACCACUACCAGAUGGACCUGCGUUGUAUUAGCUAGUAGGUGAGGUAACGGCUCACCUAGGCGACGAUACAUAGCCGACCUGAGAGGGUGAUCGGCCACACUGGGACUGAGACACGGCCCAGACUCCUACGGGAGGCAGCAGUAGGGAAUCUUCGGCAAUGGACGAAAGUCUGACCGAGCAACGCCGCGUGAGUGAAGAAGGUUUUCGGAUCGUAAAGCUCGGUUGUAAGAGAAGAACGGGUGUGGGAGUGGAAAGUUCACACUGUGACGGUAUCUUACCAGAAAGGGACGGCUAACUACGUG
rnacentral:rRNA from 1 species